rnacentral:lncRNA from 1 species
CGGCCGCUGGGGUGCGCUGUGUUGAACCGGCGGCCGGGGCUCGCGCAAAGGUAACAGUGGGUGUGUUCGCUGUGUCCCACUCCAGGAAGCGAAAGGUCACAAGAACUUUGCACAUGAUGAAAAUUUGCUCUCACCCUGGCUUUGAGCUGCCAUGUAAGAAGUCUGAAUACCUUGAGACUGCCCAGGAAGCCAUAAGAAGCUAGAUAUAGGAAGAAUUUGCAUGGAGAAAGAGCAAUACCUAGUCAUCCUGACCAUCUCCAAGUUGUCCCAGCUUUUCCAGGUAGAUAUUUGAGUGAAGACAGAUACAUGAAAGACAUUUCAACCCUAGAAAAUGUGUUGUGCAGAAGAAUCAAGGAAUCCAGCCAAGAGAAGAAUUGAGGCCCUAAAUAUAUGACCCUAUUGAGCUUCCCCAACCAUUUCUAGAUACUUAAAUCAAUCAGCUAAGGCCCCAGGCAUUUUAAAAUAGAGACUAUCCACCUCUGUUAUGUCUUGCCAGCAUUACUGACCCACA